ACACGUCAAAAUGAUUUUUAUUUGGUCUUUAUUCACUAAAGUCAUCAAGUUUGUUAUAAUAAUAAUAAUAAUAAUAAUCCAAUCUAUCUUUAAUUUUUCAAAGAUACAGACUUUCUCUUCAUUUUCUCUUCUUUUUUCUCUUUCAUAGUUUUCUCUCUUCUUUCUUCCACGUUUCUUUUCUCUCCCUUAUCUAUUCAUUUCUGCAUUUUCAACAACAAUGUUGAAACUUAAAUGUUUCUUUCAAUCUUUAAACUCUGAUUUCCUUUAUUUAUAUAUUUUCUGAAUCGUUUUGAACAAAUAUGAAUUUUAUAUCAAUGAUAUUUCAAAUCUGUGAAAUCAGUGGUGUAGUUUAGAUCUAUUAAAAAGAUAAGCGAUGUUUUCAGAUAUGUGAAAUCAAAGAAGGUGGUGAGGUUGCGGUUUUCGGUGGCGGCAGAUUUGUGCGUUUUUGUGUGAUUUGGAGGAUGUAAGGUUGCGAUUUCCGGUGAUGGAUGCAAGAUGAUUUCAUGACAGAUAAAUCUCCCUCAAUCGACAAAGCUGCAGUAUCUCAACAGACAUGCGGCGUCGACGCCUCCACAACCAAUCAACGACUACACCGCGCGACCCCUCUUCAUUUUGGCACCAGGCCAUUGGCCUUCACCUGUAUCGUGCCUUGCUUGCAUCCAUUACCACGAUUAAAUCUUCUCCGUGCAAGGCCACCGCAGCUGAAGAUUGAAAAGCAAAGAUGGUCAUAUGCAUGUGCUAAGCAGUUGAUUGAGAGGUUGGUUUAUGCUGAGGGUGCUGAAAAUGGCUUGAAGGUUACUAUUGUGAGGCCCUUUAAUUGGAUUGGACUCAGAAUGGACUUCAUUCCCGGCAUUGACGGUCCAAGUGAGGGUGUUCCUCGGGUUCUUGCAUGCUUCAGCAAUGUCGGUUCCAUUUCACUUUCACUUUCGGUUUUCUUUAAUUUUCAAGAUUUUUUAGCUGAAUGUUUGAGUAAUUGUUAAAAUAUUGUCUAAUUCCUUUUCCCCCAGAGAACUUUUGUUUACAUCAAAGAUGACAUUGAAGCUGUCCUAUUGAUGAUUGUAGGUUAUUUGAUAUAAUCUUGUGUUCCUCUAUUACUUAUUAUUGUUGUUGGUUCGAUCAUUGAACAUCAUGCGACAUUUUUGUUGAGAGGAAAACCCUGCCAGAGCCAAUGGCCACAUCUUCAAUGUAGGUAACCCAAACAAUGAGGUCUAUUCAAAGGUAAGUGGAGAACAACCUCCUGAAAAAUCUACAAUUGAUGUAAGCUCGAAAGAGUUUUACGAUGAAGGAUAUGAUGACACUGAUAAGAGAAUUCCUGACAUAACCAUAAUCAACAAACAGCUCGACUUCCCUCUGGGACCUGUUUGAAUCGACACUUACCUAUCAGCACAGGACAUAUGCAGAAGCCAUUCAAGAACCCAUUGCAAGUUAAAAGGUUUAAACAAACAAAACAUGAAUGGCAGUUCCAGAAGAGGGUAGUUUUACUACCCAAGUACCUUACAUUAUAUAUUACUGUUUGAAUUUUUACAUAUAUGGUAAAUUUAAUGUAGAGUUUUGCACUGUUAAACAAGUUAUGGCAUUUUUCACAUAUAAAAGAGAAAUAUAAAGGAGAAAAAUGUCUUUUUGUCAUAUUUUUCCUUCUUGGUGUUUUAGAGGUCGGUGGUGCUCAUUGUUUUGUCUGUUUUUCCAGUUCAUUUGUAAGUUGUAAUGUUCUGUUGACA